rnacentral:misc_RNA from 1 species
UACGUAGGGUGCAAGCGUUGUCCGGAUUUAUUGGGUUUAAAGGGUGCGUAGGCGGCCUUUUAAGUCAGAGGUGAAAUCCCUUGGCUCAACCACGGAACUGCCUUUGAUACUGGAAGGCUUGAGUUCGGUAGAGGCGGGCGGAACUGGUGGUGUAGCGGUGAAAUGCGUAGAUACCACGAAGAACACCGAUUGCGUAGGCAGCUCGCUGGGCCGAAACUGACGCUGAGGCACGAAAGCGUGGGGAGCGAACAGG